AUGCACGCUGGCGGCGUGCCUAAUACAUGCAAGUCGAGCGAACAGACGAGGAGCUUGCUCCUCUGACGUUAGCGGCGGACGGGUGAGUAACACGUGGAUAACCUACCUAUAAGACUGGGAUAACUUCGGGAAACCGGAGCUAAUACCGGAUAAUAUAUUGAACCGCAUGGUUCAAUAGUGAAAGACGGUUUUGCUGUCACUUAUAGAUGGAUCCGCGCCGCAUUAGCUAGUUGGUAAGGUAACGGCUUACCAAGGCAACGAUGCGUAGCCGACCUGAGAGGGUGAUCGGCCACACUGGAACUGAGACACGGUCCAGACUCCUACGGGAGGCAGCAGUAGGGAAUCUUCCGCUAUGGGCGAAAGCCUGACGGAGCAACGCCGCGUGAGUGAUGAAGGUCUUCGGAUCGUAAAACUCUGUUAUUAGGGAAGAACAAAUGUGUAAGUAACCAUGCACGUCUUGACGGUACCUAAUCAGAAAGCCACGGCUAACUACGUG
rnacentral:rRNA from 1 species